UACGUAGGGUGCGAGCGUUAAUCGGAAUUACUGGGCGUAAAGCGUGCGCAGGCGGUUUGCUAAGACCGAUGUGAAAUCCCCGGGCUUAACCUGGGAACUGCAUUGGUGACUGGCAGGCUAGAGUAUGGCAGAGGGGGGUAGAAUUCCACGUGUAGCAGUGAAAUGCGUAGAGAUGUGGAGGAAUACCGAUGGCGAAGGCAGCCCCCUGGGCCAAUACUGACGCUCCAUGGCACGAAAGCGUGGGGAGCAAACAGGAUUAACGAA
rnacentral:rRNA from 1 species